CUCUUCUGGUGUGUCUGAAGAGAGCGACAGUGUACUCACAUACAUAAAAUAAAUAAAUCUUUUUUUUAAUGCCUUUUGGUUUAAAUGUUUGGUGCUACAGUGGGUUCCUAAAUACCUAAGUAUAGUCCCAGCCAGUUGGAAUAAACACUUUCAGUUGGCUAUAAACUGUGCUGAGUGAUCUUCUCUGGCAGAUUCCUUGUAAUAUUUUGGAAGCCCCAGUGAGAUCCCCAGAGACUGGAUUCUGACACUGGACUUGGGACUGCCAGGAGUCAAGAAGAGUACACAGCUGGAGAGGACUCCAGGGAACUGGAAAAGCCCUCUGCAACUGUCGCUGCUGGGUGUUCCAGAGGUGAUGCAGCUCCCCAAAAGAUAAAUCAAAAGUCAUCUGCUCUGAACAUCUUAGAGUGACUUGGAUAAUCAGACGUUCCAAAACUCCUCCAUUUCUGGAUAUGCUGCAGGCCCUUUCAGCCUAUGAGGAACUGUUUUAAGGACUGCCACCAGAACAUCUGGAAUAUGAUUGCUAUCCUCCCUAUUGGCAGCACAAAGAUGUGGACUUAGGCAUCAUUAGCUGUCUGCUCAUGAACUGCAUGCUAUUGCAUUCUGUCAGGUGGGAGGAACGGUGCUGGAGGAAGACUGACUGAGACGAGAGUAGAUGCUUCUCACUUCAGUUCGGUACUCAGCGUCCUCUAUUUUCACUCUGCACUAAAGUGAAAUGUACUAGCUUAUGUUCCUCACAGAAAUACCACCAAGUGGGGACCCGAGACCAUUGCCUAAGGCUACCUAUGCCCACCCCCAAAACACAUGUAAUAAUAAUAAUAAUAAUAUUUAAAUG